rnacentral:rRNA from 1 species
AAUCUUCCGCAAUGGGCGAAAGCCUGACGGAGCAACGCCGCGCGAGUGGUGAAGGCCUUUGGGUCGUAAAACUCUGUCUUUGGGGAAGAAAAAAUGACGGCACCCAAGGAGGAAGCCCCGGCACACUACGUUCCAGCAGCCGCGGUAAAACGCAGGGGGCGAGCGUUGUCCGGAAUUACUGGGCGUAAAGGGCGUGUAGGCGGCUCGUGAAGUCAGGAGUGAAAACCCGGGGCUCAACCCCGGGCGUGCUUUUGAGACCAGCGGGCUUGAGUGCAGGAGAGGGAAGUGGAAUUCCCAGUGUAGCGGUGAAAUGCGUAGAUAUUGGGAGGAACACCAGUGGCGAAAGCGGCUUCCUGGCCUGUAACUGACGCUGAGGCGCGAAAGCGUGGGGAGCAAAC